AUUGAACGCUGGCGGCAUGCCUUACACAUGCAAGUCGAACGGCAGCACGGGAGCAAUCCUGGUGGCGAGUGGCGAACGGGUGAGUAAAGUAUCGGAACGUGCCCAGUCGUGGGGGAUAACGUAGCGAAAGUUACGCUAAUACCGCAUACGAUCUAUGGAUGAAAGCGGGGGAUCGCAAGACCUCGCGCGAUUGGAGCGGCCGAUAUCAGAUUAGGUAGUUGGUGGGGUAAAGGCUCACCAAGCCGACGAUCUGUAGCUGGUCUGAGAGGACGACCAGCCACACUGGGACUGAGACACGGCCCAGACUCCUACGGGAGGCAGCAGUGGGGAAUUUUGGACAAUGGGCGCAAGCCUGAUCCAGCCAUGCCGCGUGCAGGAUGAAGGCCUUCGGGUUGUAAACUGCUUUUGUACGGAACGAAAAGGUUUGACUUAAUACGUUGGACUCAUGACGGUACCGUAAGAAUAAGCACCGGCUAACUACGUGCCAGCAGCCGCCGCAG
rnacentral:rRNA from 1 species